rnacentral:misc_RNA from 1 species
GAUGAAGAACGCAGCGAAAUGCGAUAAGUAAUGUGAAUUGCAGAAUUCAGUGAAUCAUCGAAUCUUUGAACGCACAUUGCGCCCCCUGGUAUUCCGGGGGGCAUGCCUGUCCGAGCGUCAUUACAACCCUCAAGCUCAGCUUGGUAUUGGGCCCCGCCGACCCGGCGGGCCCUAAAGUCAGUGGCGGUGCCGUCCGGCUCCGAGCGUAGUAAUUCUUCUCGCUCUGGAGGUCCGGUCGUGUGCUCGCCAGCAACCCCCAAUUUUUUUCAGGUUGACCUCGGAUCAGGUAGGGAUACCCGCUGAACUUAAGCAUAACAAUAAGCGGAGGA